GAUGAAGAACGUAGUGAAAUGCGAUAAGUAAUGUGAAUUGCAGAAUUCAGUGAAUCAUCGAAUCUUUGAACGCACCUUGCACCCUUUGGCAUUCUGAAGGGUAUGCUCGUUUGAGUGUCAUUGUACUCUCACACUCCCGAUCUUUGCAUUGGGAGCAGUGGACUUGGGUUUGCUGCUUCACCGUCGCUUACCUCAAAUAGGUUAGUGCAACUCUUGGUUGGACAUAGUACGGCGUGAUAAGUGUUCUUCGCCGGUGCCUCGCAAAGAGGGUGGCCGAUCGGGACGUUGUGCUCCAAACCGUCUUCGGACAAUCUCUGACGACUUGACCUCAAAUCGAGUAAGACUACCCGCUGAACUUAAGCAUAUCAAUAAGCGGAGGA
rnacentral:misc_RNA from 1 species